rnacentral:sRNA from 1 species
AGUCCGUGUGAGGAGCUCGGAGGGCGAGGAGGACGUGGGCCGAGGUAUCUGCCCUGGAGAAGUGGGCAGUAAUUUGACUUCCAGAAGUUCUUGACAUCUGCAGAUCCGGGCGACAGCCAAGUGUUCAAGGUUCCAGUGACCACUGCUGUGAGGGCACAAGCCUCACUCUUAACCUUCUGGAACCUGCCAAACAGUGCCCAGACCAAUAUUGAUGUCGUGCCGUUCAAUGUCGCAGAAGGGAAGGAGGUCCUUCUAGUAGUCCAUAAUGAGUCCCAGAAUCUUUAUGGCUACAACUGGUACAAAGGGGAAAGGGUGCAUGCCAACUAUCGAAUUAUAGGAUAUGUAAAAAAUAGAAGUCAAGAAAAUGCCCCAGGGCCCGCACACAACGGUCGAGAGACAAUAUACCCCAAUGGAACCCUGCUGAUCCAGAACGUCACCCACAAUGAUGCAGGAAUCUAUACCCUACACGUUAUAAAAGAAAAUCUUGUGAAUGAAGAAGUAACCAGCCAAUUCUACGUAUUCUCGGAGCCACCCAAGCCCUC